UGAAGCUCCAGUAUUUUGCUCACCUGAUGAGAACAGCUGACUCAUUGGAAAAGUCCCUGAUGCUGGGACAGAUUCAGGGCAGAAGGAGAAGAGGGUGUCAGAGGAUGAGAUGGCUUGAUGGUAUCAUCAAUGCAAUGGACGCGAACUUCAGCAAACUUCGAGAAGUGGUGAGGGACAGGGAGGCCUUGUGUGCUGCGGUCCAUGGGGUCGCUAACAGUCGGACACGACUGA